rnacentral:snRNA from 1 species
GAGCUUCAGCAGCACAUAUACUAAAAUUGGAACAAUAUGGAGAAAAUUAGUAAGGCCCCUGUGAAAGAACGACAUGCAAAUUUGUGAAAUGUUCCAUUUUUCA